rnacentral:rRNA from 1 species
AGAACGAACGCUGGCGGCAGGCUUAACACAUGCAAGUCGAACGCAUCUCUUCGGAGAUGAGUGGCAGACGGGUGAGUAACGCGUGGGAACGUACCCUUUGGUUCGGGAUAACCCGGGGGAAACUCGGGCUAAUACCGGAUAAGCCGGAAACGGGAAAGGUUUACUGCCGAAGGAUCGGCCCGCGUCGGAUUAGCUAGUUGGUGUGGUAACGGCGCACCAAGGCGACGAUCCGUAGCUGGUCUGAGAGGAUGAUCAGCCACACUGGGACUGAGACACGGCCCAGACUCCUACGGGAGGCAGCAGUGGGGAAUAUUGGACAAUGGGCGCAAGCCUGAUCCAGCCAUGCCGCGUGAGUGAAGAAGGCCCUAGGGUUGUAAAGCUCUUUCGAGCGGGACGAAUAAUGAACGGUACCCGACAGAAGAACGCCCCGCUAACCGUUCGCGCCAGCAGCCGC